rnacentral:rRNA from 1 species
GAUGAACGCUGGCGGCGUGCCUAAUACAUGCAAGUCGAGCGAACAGACGAGGAGCUUGCUCCUCUGACGUUAGCGGCGGACGGGUGAGUAACACGUGGAUAACCUACCUAUUAGACUGGGAUAACUUCGGGAAACCGGAGCUAAUACCGGAUAAUAUAUUGAACCGCAUGGUUCAAUAGUGAAAGACGGUUUUGCUGUCACUUAUAGAUGGAUCCGCGCCGCAUUAGCUAGUUGGUAAGGUAACGGCUUACCAAGGCAACGAUGCGUAGCCGACCUGAGAGGGUGAUCGGCCACACUGGAACUGAGACACGGUCCAGACUACUACGGGAGGCAGCAGUAGGGAAUCUUCCGCAAUGGGCGAAAGCCUGACGGAGCAACGCCGCGUGAGUGAUGAAGGUCUUCGGAUCGUAAAACUCUGUUAUUAGGGAAGAACAAAUGUGUAAGUAACUAUGCACGUCUUGACGGUACCUAAUCAGAAAGCCACGGCUAACUACGUG